rfam:Triticum urartu cultivar G1812 contig203181, whole genome shotgun sequence.
AGAGUACUCCCUUCGUUCAAAAUUACUUGUCUCGAAUAUGGAUGUAUUUAGAACUAAAAUACGUCUAGAUACAUCCAUUUCCGCGACAAGUAAUUCCGAACGGAGGGAGUAUUUG